UGGGGAAUAUUGCACAAUGGGCGCAAGCCUGAUGCAGCCAUGCCGCGUGUGUGAAGAAGGCCUUCGGGUUGUAAAGCACUUUCAGCGAGGAGGAAGGUGGUGGACUUAAUACGUUCAUCAAUUGACGUUACUCGCAGAAGAAGCACCGGCUAACUCCGUGCCAGCAGCCGCGGUAAUACGGAGGGUGCAAGCGUUAAUCGGAAUUACUGGGCGUAAAGCGCACGCAGGCGGUUUGUUAAGUCAGAUGUGAAAUCCCCGGGCUCAACCUGGGAACUGCAUUUGAAACUGGCAAGCUAGAGUCUCGUAGAGGGGGGUAGAAUUCCAGGUGUAGCGGUGAAAUGCGUAGAGAUCUGGAGGAAUACCGGUGGCGAAGGCGGCCCCCUGGACGAAGACUGACGCUCAGGUGCGAAAAGCGUGGGGAGCAAACAGAUUAGAUACCCUGGUAGUCCACGCUGUAAAACGAUGUCGAUUUUGGAGGUUGUGCCCCUGAGGCGNGGNUUCCGAGCUAACGNGUUAAAUGACGCCNGGGAGUANGGCCNCAAGGUUAAAACUAAAGGAAUUGCGGG
rnacentral:rRNA from 1 species